CACGUAGGGCGCAAGCGUUGUCCGGAAUUAUUGGGCGUAAAGAGCUCGUAGGCGGUCUGUUGCGUCCGCUGUGAAAACUCGGGGCUUAACCCCGAGCCUGCAGUGGAUACGGGCAGACUAGAGGUAGGUAGGGGAGAAUGGAAUUCUCGGUGUAGCGGUGAAAUGCGUAGAUAUCGAGAGGAACACCUGCGGCGAAGGCGGGUUGCUGGGCUGAUACUGACGCUGAGGCGCGAAAGCUAGGGGAGCGAACGGG
rnacentral:rRNA from 1 species